CUAUAGAAGACAAUAUAUUAGAAGAUCUGAGAACCGUAAUAACGAAAUUAGUUCUCUCUCUUCUGUCGUUCGGAAAUAUAAUCGAAAUAUCCUUACGUCUAACACAAAUCUCUGU
rnacentral:sRNA from 1 species